AGACCCACUCAGGCAAGACUUCCUGGAAGAAGUGCCAGUUGAGCUGGCAUCUUUCUUCUUUUAUUUCUCCUUCAGUUUCUUUCCCACCUAAGUGGGGCUUCCAGCUGUAAGGAUGGACAGGAGAAAUUUUAUCUUGGAAGGGGUAUUGUAGGGCUGUAAAGUGAUGGCACUGUGAAAUCACAGAGCAGCAUUCUUUCCUCUGGGCAGACCUAGCCAAUACCUGGGUACCAAGCUCCUCUGGUAGAGAGUGGACUGCUAACCCAUCCACUCAUUGCCUUUGUGCAGUGCCCAGCCUGUGCAUCUGUUCAAGGCAGCCCAGGGCAUUCAGCUUCCGAACCCAGCUUGGGGAAGCCAAGGGCAGAAGAGAAGGAAAGCCCCAUUGGGAGGCUUCUGGGAACUGGAAAAGUGCAUUUCCCUGCUUCCAAAGGCCUCUCUGCCUGCUUUCAAUACCCCUUUCAGUUGCUGCCAGUACAUAGCCCUACAGCUCCCAGUCCUCACCCUCUGUCCCUGGGCUUUCCCAGGGAAGAAAUUUCAGCUCCAACUUUUUCAAGGGUUGCAAGCCAGGCUAUUCUGAGGGUGGUAAAGCAGGUGGAGAGGGAGCUCACAGUGAAGGGGAGAACAGCAUGUUUAUCAGUUUGCUCAGGCCGGGGAGGAAAAUAUUCAGGGGCUUUCAGAUCCAUGGCGUGAACAGAUGGAAUUAAAAGGAGAGUCUGGACCUGAAUGACAAAGUCCAGGGUUUGGCAAGCUGUGCUCACAAUCGUAGCAUGUGUGCUCAUGCCUCAUCCCAGAGCCCCCAGGAGCAUGCCCUGCGUGCACAGAUGAGGGAGACUUUCUUCUAAUGAAGACGAAUGCAGAGCGAUGAGUGACUUGGCAAAAGCCAACGCAGUCAGAAUACAGGCUUCAUUCAGGGAAGUGAAAAACCCAGGUGGUGCUGAGUUUGGAGAAAUGUCUGAGAGCAUGCUGAGUGCCCAAGCCUUGAAGGGGUUCUACUGUGGAUCUGGGGGUACAGCCGGCCCCUCUCUGAUGAAGCUCCACCUUCAGCUUCCAGAGCAGAGGCUCAAGGAUCACCUCCUCAAAGAAGCCUGCCCUGACCCUCUAUGCAAAGUAGCCUCCGAGGCUCUCUGUUCAUUUUUUUCUUCAUAACAUUUAUCAGCAACUGGAAUGAUUUUAUUUCUGCGUUUAUGGUUCAGCUCCUGCACCUGAAUGGCAGCUCCACAAGGGCUGGGACCCAGUCUGUCUCAUUCAUCAGUUUACCCUCUGGUUCUAAAAUAGAGCUUGGCACACUGCAGUCACUCAACAAAUAUUGGUGGAGUGGAGAUUGAGAGAGAGAGAGGCAGAGACACAGGCAGAGGGAGAAGCAGACUCCAUGCACCGGGAGCCCGACGUGGGAUUCGAUCCCGGGUCUCCAGGAUCGCGCCCUGGGCCAAAGGCAGGCGCCAAACCGCUGCGCCACCCAGGGAUCCCUACGAUGCUCUUAAUAACGUGAUAGUAAACCCACUGCCCAUUGGAACUAUGGCUCAGUGAGGUGACAUCUGCUCACCCAGCGAGCAAGUGGAGAACCAGUGCUCAGACCCAGGCCGGGCUUUGCAUCUGGCCACACUGCCUGUAGUAGGUUAGGACGGGAGGGGAGUCAGCUAAGAGAAAGGAGUGGCACCCCCAGGCUCUCCGGCCUGCAGAAACCCUCCAUUCACUCCAGGCUCGUGGGAAGGAAGGGUGACCGGGUUCAGUGGCAGCCCUUUCUAGCACUGAGUGUCAGAUGUGAACAGGAGACCCUGCCGCUUGGAACAAAAUGGCAGGAAUGGAACAAAUUCGUUUGCUUACGUAGCUCCAGGCAUUCUACACACACACACACACACACACACACACACACACACACACACACCUGAGCGUCUGUAUAAGAGUUAGUGGGGGCUGCCAGCAAACUCCCUCUUUAGUCCUUGAUCGUGAUCUGCACUGGGAAAAUGGGGUAAUGGAGUUGGGGGUGCAGUGGCUGGCUGGGUGCCCUCCCUCUGCCCAACCUGCUCAAAGUUGUCCCAUCAGGCUUUGAACACUGAUCUCAACCCCACAGCAACCGUAGCCCGAGUCCCAGCCCACACGGCCCCUGGCCGAAGGGUCCCACACGCUUGUCCUCCUCUGUACCCCAGGCCCGCUUGGCACAUUCGAAGCCCUGCCUGGCCCCAGCGCCCCACACCGCUGGUGUGCCCGGGACUUGGGCGUCUGCCCAUCCACUGCUCAGGACGUGAGUUCUGCAGUCGCCCUGGUCCACACUCUGGGAGCCCGGGUACCGGUACUUUUGGCUCCCAUGUCCCCCUCCCAGGACUUGGUCUAGGCACCCCACCCUUGGCCCUUCUCAGAGACCUCCGGCAGGGUGUUUGUACCGUAUCCCUCGGGCCUUACCACCUCCGUGGGCCAAGGACUCACCGUGAAGCCAUGGGGCGGGGGGGCACCCUUUCCUCUGUGGGGCAGACCAGAGUGCUCAGGAGUUCACGUCAGGCCCCCGCUAGCGGCCCCCCGCCCCGAGCCAUGGCCCUGGCUGAGAGCCCUUCUGCUCUGAGUCCCGGGGCUCCUCGAACGAAGCUCCACUCCCCAGGGCCCCAGGCGAGCCGACGACACUCCCCUACUGCCUGCCUUCCCACUCCCACUGGCGUUUGCCAGCAUCGCUUCCUGAUUAAAUCUCAGGGGCCGCUCCUGGGGUCCUCCCUGAAGCCGGCCUGUUCCUCCCAGCCUGCCUCGGCCGGGCCCCCACUCUGGAAUCCUCCAGCGCUCCCCGCCACCGCUCCUGGCCCCUGGCUUUCUCUGCUCCCCGGGGUCUCGCACCUUCGGCCCGGAGCAAAGGGUUCCCUCGCCCUCCAGCACAAUCCCUGUGAGUUCAGCCUCUCCCCCAGCCUCUGACCUGGUGCCCAGAGCUGUCACCGACCCGCCCACCUUGCAGGCCGGAGGCAAACCCGGCCCGGGCCAGUUCGAUCCCAGGGAGAAACGCUGCAGGUCAGAAAGUUCCUUCAAAAUCAGCAAAAAUAAAAUUUAAUUGUGCGCCGCAGGUGUGGGCAGUCCGUCCUUCCUUGGGAAGGGCCGCCAGCCGUCUUGAGGGAGAGCACCCCUGUUCUUCCUGCAGACGGGCGCCUCCAGGACCCGGAUGGCUGGCCCUGGGGUGGGCCGCCUCAGCCCCCGGGAGGGGGUGCAUUCGAAGAUGCGCAGUGGGGGCCCCGGCACUUUCCGUAGGCCCUUGGCUCCCUCCUCGCCGCGGCGGGCUCCAACCCUAGGCCAGCCAGGAGCUUCUUGGGUCCCGGCCCAGAAGAGCCACGGCGCCCUAAAAGACCUUCCGGGGAACACAGCCCUCCAGCUCCAGCAGCUCCGGCCAGCCGUCGUAUUUGUUGGUGCCUGGGUUGUUCUUUAAGAACUAGAGAGAGAGGAGACAGAGAAUGACGCAGACCAUGGGGGAGGCUGUUCAGGAUUCACACCUGAGUUUUCACUGUGCUUUUAAAACCUCACGCUUUGGGGAUCCCUGGGUGGCUCAGUGGUUUACAGCCUGCCUUUGGCCCAGGGCGCGAUCCUGGAGUCCCGGGAUCGAGUCCCACAUUGGGCUCCCGGCAU